rnacentral:rRNA from 1 species
GUGGGGAAUAUUGCGCAAUGGGGGAAACCCUGACGCAGCGACGCCGCGUGAGCGAAGAAGGCCUUAGGGUUGUAAAGCUCUGUUUUAAGGGACGAAUGUCGUGGGGAGUAAUAUGCUCUGCGAAUGACGGUACCUUAAGAGGAAGCCCCGGCUAACUACGUGCCAGCAGCCGCGGUAAGACGUAGGGGGCGAGCGUUGUCCGGAAUUACUGGGCGUAAAGAGCACGUAGGCGGGAACUUAAGUCAGGUGUGAAAGACCGGGGCUCAACUCCGGGGUUGCACUUGAAACUGGGUUUCUUGAGGGCAGGAGAGGAAAGCAGAAUUCCUGGUGUAGCGGUGAAAUGCGUAGAAAUCAGGAGGAAUACCAGUGGCGAAGGCGGCUUUCUGGACUGACCCUGACGCUGAGGUGCGAAAGCGUGGGUAGCAAACAGGAUUAGAAACCCGUGUAGUCC